CGCUAGCGGCAGGCCUAACACAUGCAAGUCGAGGGGUAACAGAGAGAAGCUUGCUUUUCUGCUGACGACCGGCGCACGGGUGCGUAACGCGUAUACAAUCUGCCUUAUACAGAGGGAUAGCCUUUAGAAAUGAAGAUUAAUACCUUAUAGUCUAUUUUUAUAGCAUUAUAUAAAUAGUAAAGCUUCGGUGGUAUAAGAUGAGUAUGCGUCCUAUUAGUUAGUUGGUAAGGUAACGGCUUACCAAGACAACGAUAGGUAGGGGCCCUGAGAGGGGGAUCCCCCACACUGGUACUGAGACACGGACCAGACUCCUACGGGAGGCAGCAGUGAGGAAUAUUGGACAAUGGAGGCAACUCUGAUCCAGCCAUGCCGCGUGCAGGAUGACGGCCCUAUGGGUUGUAAACUGCUUUUAUAUAGGAAGAAACCUUUUCACGUGUGAGAAGCUGACGGUACUAUAAGAAUAAGGACCGGC
rnacentral:rRNA from 1 species